UCCCUGGUAGUUGAAUGGCUAAGCUUUUGUACUCUCAAUGUAGGGGGCCCAGUUUCAAUCCCUGGUCAGGGAA
rnacentral:tRNA from 1 species